CAAAGUCAGAAAAAAAGAGAUCACACAAGGAAUCAAGCAUAGACAUGUAGUUCGCCCAAAUAAAACCUUUAGAAUGGUAAGCCGCAAAAGAGGCAAUUCAAUCCGCACUCUUCCUUCAUCCGAGACGCUGCAUGGGAGGCUGGAUGAGCUCGACCACUGUGCGCAUGCUUGAAUGCAAGCAGAUGCUCUCUGGCCUCUAAGGGUGCUGGAGGAGAAGCAGCGGCAACCUGAGAGCUAAGGGUCCUCCAGAGCCUGGCCAUCACCAGUGCAAAGUCCUUUGCCUUCGGCCCUGGCUGACCUUCGUCUCAAGGUUUCUCUCAUGGAUCGCCUCCACUUACUGAAGACCAGGAUUCGGCAGGUAAUUGUCUCAAGUCCCUGACCUACAAAUCCUGUCCUCUUGGAAAAGCAGGAGCAACACCAAACAGACUGAAACCUUUUAUCCCCAAUGGUGCUGUGGAGAAGAGAGUGCCAGGUGCCGGAAUGAGAAGCAGAGGCUGGAACGCACCCGGCUUCACAGGAGAUGGUUUCCGGUUGGAUUCUGAAGGAUGCUUCCAUCCUCCUCUUUAGUUUUCUCAAAUUCCCUGAUGUAUGUCUACCUACAAAGAUUGCUAUUCAAAGUUGCAUGGUUCAAUAUUGCUAGUGUUAUGGGUACAAUUCUGUUCCUAUGCAAAUGGUACAUUAAGCUUUCUCUAGAGGAAUUCGGUAGCAAUGGUCUUGAAAUGUUUUCUUGAUCCAGUCGGCACAAAUCAACUUACUUCCUCAUGCUUCCAUUUCUUGAUCUAAGCAACAAUAUUCUGCAUCACCUAAGGUUAUUACACAUGCAAAAUCACAGCAGUGGGAGACAACAAAACCAAUGUGGCUUCAACAAUCAAUAUCUGAAUGAACUGAGAACACCAAACAGACUAAUAUUACAUACCACAUUGCCUAGCAAUUAAAUCCAUAUAUAAAAUCAAUCAACAGCUAGAACCAAUCAAGAUAAGAUAUGGCUAAAUUAUAGAAUUGGAGCAAAAUUACAGAAAGCAAAAGAUCACGAUGCUGAUAUGUGCAGAUCAUCCAGUGCAUUGCAAUUUGGGUUUAGUAAAAUUAAAGUAACAAAUAGACUCGACUUAAGAUUAAAUGGGUGAAAAAGGAAAAAGAAAACCAGGCUCAAAUAUAAGCAAAAUAAGAGAAGAAAAAA